CCCCAGCCCCAGGAAGAGAACGGCAGCAGGAAAAGUUAGAGAGGAGAGGGAGCAGGAGGUGGAGAGCUCGGCCCCUCCUUCGCUGCUGCCCUCUGGGUGACGCUCAGCGGAGGCGCCACGUAGCAGCUGCGAGAGCCCCGAGACAACCUCUGCACUGUUUAUGGGAUCGCAUUAGGGGAGCAGCGGCCCUGCAUGACCCCACAGGUCCUCCUUCCCACCAGACAUGAGGAUUUUAACUUGAUCAUCUCUGCAAAGACCUUAUCUUCAAAUACAGUUACAUUCUGAAGUCCUGGGGGUUAGGGCUGCAACACCCGAAUUGGUGGAGACAAAAUCCAGCUCCUGACAAUACCGCGUAUGAUAGCUGCGUCUCUGCCUGCAGUACUGUUUUCCAGGGAAAGCAUCUUUGAGUGUAUUCAGAAAGCCUCUCUCUGGGGCCAGGCCUUGCAGAGAAUCCUUCAGAAACUGGACAACCCCACCCAAGGCAGUCAGUGGGGAGGACACAUUUGGUGCCUCAUUGGUCCCUGGAUCUGCCUCACAGUCCUCAAUGUUCCUCCUCGUUCCCUCUACUCUUUCUCCUCUUUGGUUGACCUUGAAGCUCAUUCCUGGUGAAGGCCCCGUGGGAGCAGUGCAAUGACAAGAGGAGCCUGUUUUCAAUAGCACCCUCACGCUCUCCAGGGGUCCAUUGGAGGCGCCUAUGACCUCCUGAUGCUGAGGAGCCUAGAGUGGGCAGCCCUCGGGCCCAGGCUCCACCUGGGUGAGGCCUGUUUUAUUAUCAAUACUCACCACAGUCAUUUGUGGGAGUGUAAUGCUCAUAUUCCCAUUUAAGAGAUGAAUAAACUGAGGCAAGGUGAAGUGACUCAGCUGAGGCCACACCACAGUUUAAUGGGGAAGCCAGGAUAAGAGCUGGCGGCUUCUAUGUCUGAUCUACACUCUGAUGGGAGGUCGUCAGAGAGCCAUGUAAACGGUGAGGAGGUGACAUGCUGGUCCCUUCCAUAAAAGCUGUUUUGCAAAAUUAAAACACACACACAGUAAAGAUCCAGAUUUAUGCAAGUGAGAGUGAGGGGCUGACUAUUUACCAGUCAACAGAUCUCCCCAAAUGGUUCUCUGCUUGGGGUUGAGAUGCUCCUGACCAGCAGGGCUUGGGGAGAGACAUUCUUGCUCCCCCUAGAGCUGGCUGACCCAUACCCAGGGGAUUCUGAGCACCAGGGGCUGGGAGCAGCAUGUACCACGUGUUUCCCAAGAGUUAGUCAUGUUUGCUCCUAAAACUUAUUGUAAUCGAGGAAUCUAAUUAAACAAUACACCAACUGAAGAAACAGUGCAAAAAGAAUGAGUGACUGUUUCUAUGAAAACUUAGAUGAACUACUUUGGAAAGAUUCAAUAAAAAGCAUGCCUAAAUACAUAUACUGGGGCCAGGAGCAGUGAUUCACACUUGUAACCCCAGUGCUUUGGGAGGCUGAGGUGGGAGGGUGGCUUGAGGCUAGGAGUUUGAAACCAGCCUAGGCAACAUAGCAAGACCCUGUCUCUACAAAAAAACAAAAAUUUUUCAACUGGUUGUGGCAGCACCUGCCUAUGGUCCCAGCUGCUCUGGAAGCUGAGGUGAGAGGAUCACUCGAGCCCAGGAGUUCAGGCUGCAGUGAGCCGCAAGUGUGCCACUGCACUCCACCCUGGGCAACAGAGCAAGACCCUGUCUCUAAAAAAAUAAAUAAAAUAUGUACAUCCAGAUACAGUAUUAUGUGUGGGCGAGACACCGGUAAAAGAUGGAAACAAUCAUAAAAGUCAGGCAGGAUUCCACCUAAGAUUGUCUUUAGCUCUCAAUCUACCUUGUUUUAAAAUUUUUUUAUGAGCCAUAAAAGACCUAAGACUAGUCUUUAUUGUACAACUUGAUGAAUUCUGAUCCUGUGGCCAUACAGUUCAAAAUAGAGCAUUCUAGCACUCAGAAAGCUCCCUAGUGCCCUCAUCAGUUGGUGCCUGUCAACCCCAAGGAUGUCAUAGUCAUUUGGACACCCCUGGCACAGUCAUUCCACUUAGAGACUCUGCCAGAAGUCCCAGAUCAUAAUCAGGAGUGAAAUUUACACAAGAAGGGGCCGGAAGCCCUAGUGAGUAGUGAACUCAACUCCAAAAUAACCCUACACUAAAAAUAAAACUGGAACGUACUUUUUAUGUUUGAAAUUUAAAUAAGAUAGAUGUAUUUUUGUUAAAUCGUUCCAACCUGUACAACUUUUCUAUUCAUCAGCCAACUAGCCAGAGAAAGGGGGUUUCUGCUGCUGUCAGAGUAUAAAAAUGAGCUGCAAUUUUCAAAAUUUGACCUCAUCUAACUUUCUCCAGCUAUGCCAUUCCUGGAGCAUCCUCAGUCCAGUGCCUGAUGCGUAAAACAUAAUAAAAAGGUGACCCCACCACACCAAACACUGGGGUGUCUGUAGCAGUGACCGCGUCUCACGGGGAUUUUGUCUGAAUGCCUGUUCCUCCACUCGCCUAAUCCAUGGAGGUCAGGGAACCACGCAC
rnacentral:lncRNA from 10 species